CCACUGACGCACACAAUCACAGAGCCCUAGCGCUCCUCCUCCUCCUCCUCCUCCUCAUCUGGUCCUCUUCCUCUCUCCCAUCUAAAGUGAGCCAACCAGCUAUUCCCAAUAUCUUUCCUCUAUGACCAUUGAAUCUCAAUGAUAUAAGUCCCCAACCACGAUCCAAUCUAUGUGGGUUUGGGAUGAGGUCCUCCAAUCACUCAGCUUCUAGGCCCCGAUGAGUUGUAAUUCAUGUUGGUUGAUGCAGCGGAGAAGGAGGUUCAUCAAAGUUUAGGUGUUCAAGGUGGAAACUUGAUGACAACAAUAAUGUCUAUUUCAGUUUUUUGUGUGAAUAGAAGAAAGAAAAUCCUCAGUUUGACCCUCAUUCAAAAUGAGGAAUUGGAGCAACACCUAUCAGGGAAUUUGAAUUAAACCAAAAGGAAGAACUGCUAUAUUAUCCCUCCCGUGCUCUUCACCUCCGCCAUCCAUGUUGCAAGCAGGACACACAUACCCCAAGCCAAAAUCUUACAUGUUCAUCAAAGCUGAACCACCGAUCAGUACACAUCCCAGUAAGCUAAUUUAGUUGGUUUUGUGAUGGGCGUGAAUGCCAAGCAACAAAGGUUUGUACUAUUCAGAGAAUAGCAUUAUGGUAAUUGUGGGAACGGAUGAAGGCAAGGUAUUCCCGUCAAGAGAAGGAUGACUACAUAUAAAGCAAGGCAUGCAAGGAUGAUGCAUUGCUUAAUGCCUAAUCGCCUAACUAUUAUUCAUGUGCUCAGUUAUGUUAGUAUACUUAUACAAUAGUUAACAAACAAAAGUAGUCUAGCAACGUAUCUCUGUUUAAUUUUGACUCUAGACUUCUCAAUUUGAGGUGUUGUUACCGAAAAGAAGAAGACUGAUUUUGGUUCACUGCCAUGGACGUAGUUUUUCCUUUA